rnacentral:snRNA from 1 species
UUACUUAUCUGCACGGGGUCAAUGGGUGAUCUGAAAGGCCUAUGGCCUAGAGCAAUGACUUUCAUUGGACAUAGAAGGGGUGUUGUUCUAAGAUUUGUCCAAGUGACAGAACCUACAAUAAUUUGUAUCAUAGGAGACUUGUGUUAGUGCAACCCCUAC